rnacentral:other from 1 species
GUUCCAGACGGACCCCUGAGGGGUUGAAGC